rnacentral:rRNA from 1 species
GCACAAGCGGUGAGUAUGUGGUUUAAUUCGACGCAACGCGCAGAACCUUUACCUGGUCUUGACAUCCCGAGAAUUUUCUGGAAACAGAGAAGUGCCUCGCAAGAGGAAUUCGGAGACAGGUGCUGCAUGGCUGUCGUCAGCUCGUGUCGUGAGAUGUUGGGUUAAGUCCCGCAACGAGCGCAACCCUCAUUGUUAGUUACUACCAUUCAGUUGAGGACUCUAAUGAGACUGCCAACGACAAGUUGGAGAAGGUGGGGAUGACGUCAAAUCAUCAUGCCCUUUAUGACCUGGGCUACAAACGUACUACAAUGGCCAAUACAAAGAGAUGCGAAGCGGUGACGUGAAGCGAACCUCAGAAAGUUGGUCUCAGUUCAGAUUGAAGUCUGCAACUCGACUUCAUGAAGGCGGAAUCGCUAGUAAUCGCGGGUCAGCAGACCGCGGUGAAUACGUUCCCGGGUUUU